GAUGAACGCUGGCGGCGUGCCUAAUACAUGCAAGUCGAGCGAAUGGAUUAAGAGCUUGCUCUUAUGAAGUUAGCGGCGGACGGGUGAGUAACACGUGGGUAACCUGCCCAUAAGACUGGGAUAACUCCGGGAAACCGGGGCUAAUACCGGAUAACAUUUUGAACCGCAUGGUUCGAAAUUGAAAGGCGGCUUCGGCUGUCAAUUAUGGAUGGACCCGCGUCGCAUUAGCUAGUUGGUGAGGUAACGGCUCACCAAGGCAACGAUGGGUAGCCGACCUGAGAGGGUGAUCGGCCACACUGGGACUGAGACACGGCCCAGACUCCUACGGGAGGCAGCAGUAGGGAAUCUUCCGCAAUGGACGAAAGUCUGACGGAGCAACGCCGCGUGAGUGAUGAAGGCUUUCGGGUCGUAAAACUCUGUUGUUAGGGAAGAACAAGUGCUAGUUGAAUAAGCUGACACCUUGACGGUACCUAACCAGAAAGCCACGGCUAACUACGUGCCAGCAGCCGCAGUAA
rnacentral:rRNA from 1 species